rnacentral:pre_miRNA from 1 species
UCUUAGGGAUGGGCAAAUAAAGUGCUUUCUUGAGAUGGAAUCUACGCUUGGUGAAGAUACUGUGAA